GCGGCGGCCCUUGUGGUGGUAGCGCUUGUGGCUGCCCACACCGUUCCUCGUCCUUGACAGGCGGUUCCCCUUUGUGCUGAGGCCUGGAGAAUGGGCCGUGAUGAACAUCUGGCUGAGACCCCGUGCCUCUUUCCCUGUGUCUUUUCAUGCAUUUGGAUGUUGCCACAGGGAUGGAGGUCUUGUCAGUCCCAAGUGUCGAUUGCCAUUAAAGGCUCUGACACUACCAGGCCUCCUGUGGAAAAGCUGUCAGUUAACAGCCUCCAUGUGUCCAGUGCCAGGGCAGCUGGCUCUAAAGCAUGGCAGGUGAGCUCUUGGGAAGGGCGCGGUUGACUUGGCUGACGGUCACAGCCAGGCUGGCCCUGAAGGUGCACAGGGCUGCCUCUGUCCGGCUCCCUCUGCCUCCCCGGCCAUCCCGCCAGCCCCUAUCAUGGGGAAAGCCUCAGUGGUCCAUCAGCCUGAGAGACACUCAUGGGCUUCUUUUAAAAUUUUACUAGAAUGUCACGAUCUGCAGUCACGAUCAGUAAGUUUUCCUAAAGCAGCCGCGUUUCAUCAGGAGCAAGCCACAGUGUGUGCGUGUCUAGACUUGAUUUGUUUUCCCUGCCGUGUUCAACAAAGAGAAAUCAAGAUAUAAUGCCCAGUAAAAAAAAAGAAAAAGAUAAAUGUAGUCAUGUUCCAUGUGCAUGAAGGUCAAAGACAGUCCCGUGCAUCGGAGGGAGAGAUGGGAGGAUGCCGGGGAGGCCCCUGAGGACGGGGCAGAGCAAGUGUGUGAAGCGCUUUCUUCCUCCUUGUUCCUCCACCCGGGUGGGGGCUGCACCGUGUUCAUUUUGGAGCAGUUUGUCUACCUGUGCCCGUGCGGAAUGUCCUCUACCCGCGCCCGUGUGGAAUGUGCGUCUUGAAGUGCAGUAUUGCAUUUCAUAAAAAGCCCUUAAAACGGCAUUAGAAGCAGGGCCGGAGGCACCCACUGAAUCCAGCUACACCCAUCUCUCCAGAAAUCGCCUCACAUGGCCGCCUGUGCAUGCAGCCAUCUUUUGAAACACACGUGGAAUCACCACACGUGCCCUCUCCAUGCGGUUUUCAGUUUGCCCUUUCUUCCCACCCAGCCAUUCACCUGGGUAUUACGACACAUGGACAUCACCUCGUUCUUUUGCAGUUGUCUGUGUACAGAUGGAAGAAAAUGUGGCUUUUGGUUGUUUCCAGGUUUCUGUAGAAGAGUCUUUGUGUGAACCAUGAGGGCGUAAAACUGUAGGAUGCCACCCAGAAGAGGAUGGCUGGGUGUGCCCUUGGUGCAGUCCUCAGAGUCCCCGCAGUGGCCGUGCACGGCUGGUUCCCAGGCAGCCACGAGGGCCGAGAGCUUCCAUCUGUGUGGAUCCAGUAGCAAAAUGUGGAAUCCUUGCUCUGUUCGUGUGUGUUUCUUUGAUUUCAGAGUAAAACUACACUUUAAAAGCCUUUUGAAAUGUUAUUCUAUAAAAUGCCAACUUAGAUAUGUUGCUCAUUUUUUCUCUGUAGAGAUUACAUUUUUUUGUUUGUUU
rnacentral:lncRNA from 1 species